UUGAUGCAGAGGGGAGACUUCGGGACGUUCGAAACCGAUGAAGCAAUCCGCAGCCGCCGACUGUGGAGAAUCUUUCAGGUAAAUAGACCCUUUGUGGAUG
rnacentral:ncRNA from 2 species